UUGUCAGGACAUGGCCAUGAAGCUUGCUCUUCGAGUUUUGACUGUAUAGUUGUCAUUGUUUCAAUCAAGUGCAAAAGAGGUUACUCCUGUUUACUUAGUGUAAUAGCUGUUUACUGUUAAAACUUUAAAGACUCAUAAAAGUAAGGCUGCUGUAUUUUAAAGAUCUCAUCAUUCUUGUGGGAGAGACACAACACCAACUCCAGGAAAGGCAACAGAUUGCUUCUGUCAUAUCGCUUGGCUGUUUUAGAGUGUACUUAAAGGAUUAUGAUUGAUAAGGCUGUCUUGCCAGAGAAUGUUGACACAGGUGUGCAUCGUUAUCUUAAUUAAGAUCCUGAGAAAAUGUUGUCUAUAAAUGGAGACAUAAGAAGGGCAGCAUAUUUUUUUGUACAGUUUUGCUUUUGGAGAAUUUAAUUGCACUUGAAACCUCUCUUUCUGCUUGCAGAUUUUGUGAGCAGCUUGGCAUCAGAAGUUUUAGAGAGAAAUGGUAGUUUAAUGUUAAGUGUUCUGGCAUGUAGUAAUACUACUUGUGGCUUUUUGGCAAUACAUUUUCUCAGCUUGCUUUCUUUGUACUCUACCUUUGUAGAAUAAAUGGUUUCUAAUUUUGAAAAAAAAAAUUAAAAACAUAAGACUGCAGUAUAUGAUUAAGCAAACAUUGGUGUUUAGAAAACACCUUUUGAGGAAGCCAUGCUUAAUGUUCAGAAACAGGAAUAUGACAAAAAGGUGAAUGCAUGAGAAAUGUAUGCCACUGGAAUUUUUUUGGAGAGGAAAGAGUCUCCCAUGAUGUCUCAAUGGUGGAAAACAGUUUCUUUUCCAUAUUAUCAAGUGCCUAGCUACAACAUUCGUGGAAUGCCUUGUUUUUAGUUCUAGAAAUAGAGGAGAACUUAUCUUUUCCAAAAUAUUGUUCUGUAAAUUUGAAUUGAUGAGCAAGUGGAGACGAUGCAUUAGUUUAAGGAUCUGAAUCAUAACCUGGGUGUCCACUAAAAUAACAUUACUGUCCUUCACUCUAAAUCUCUGACUGCAAAAACAAUGGCAAGGCGGAUGCUGCUGAUUAUAUUACCUUUGGCUUACCCAGCACCUAAUACCCCUUAACAUAAGGAUUACAUUAAGAUUUCCCCCUCUCUUUGUAGCUCACUCUUUCCUGGAAGCUGGCUGUCCAUCAGUGUGUGUGAGAGAGGUGAUAAGUAUGAUGCUUCCAUAAUACGUUUGGAUGUUUUCAGCUAAGUUCACUUUCAAACUGUGGGGUUCCUCCAAAUGUUGGCUGAAAUUUAUUCUUGCAUGUCCCAAGGCUCAUCUGCAGGAGUCCACAGUUCCUGAUGGAUCUAGUGUCCUGGCUGUUGGAAGGAGGAGAUUGUGCAGACAGAAAGAUUCAGCCAUCGGUCUUUGAAAUUUCCUGACAUCCGUUUCAGUCUAGAUGGAAAAGAAUUGGAAAAAUCAAGCGCUCAGGGGAUUUAAAUAUGUUUUGAAUGUUUCUGUUUAUAGACGACAGUAUUUUUCCAGUUGAGCUCCUUGGUGUCCCUGUAGGGGAAGGGUAAACUCUUCUUCAUCAUCAAUUUUAUUGAAAAUGCUUAAGACAUAAAAUGUUGCUGAAAUAAUUCCUGUUUGAAACAAAGUGAAGGAAAAAAAUGAAAUAAAUUUUAUAUGGUGACUGUU